AACUGAUGAUGCGGGCCUUCCUUAAGCAAGUCCUUGAAUCUUUCCCAAGCUUCGUAAACAAGCUCUCUUGAUCAUGAUGAAGCAAAUGUCAUUAUCUUCUUACGCAGCUU